CUUUAGGCCCGUUUAAUAAAAACAGAAAUAAUGUUUUAUUGGAUAUAUUAAUAGGUUAAAGAGGAAUCACAAAUCCAAUUCCGAUUUUCAUCGAUUUACUCAUUCCUAAUCCUACCCUGGUUCGCCAUCGCCAUGAGCAACGGUACUCAGAGGUUGUUGAACCCGAACCCGAAUCCAGAAAGGGUGCUGAAAAUCCCAGUGAAGAAGACUGAUCCGGUGGAGCUGUACAGGCCGUUACGCAAUUUGGUAGCGACAAGAUACUCAGAGAGCGAUGCACAGAAAGUUGAAAACGUUCUCGAAACCCUUAACAAAUGCCGCAAGGACAUAGUGGAGCGAUUUGGGGACCUCUCAUUUUCCAUGCAACGUGACUGCCUCAUUCACUACUUCAAAUGUCUCUGCAUGGUUGACCCACUCUUCACGGCUGUCUCCUCCGACGCCGGCUCCGACCCGAUCACCUUUUUCUGGUACGACGCCUUCCUCCCUGAGCAUGAGGAUGGGGUCUCCUCGCAGCGCAACAGCAUCCAAUUGGAGAAGGCUGCUGUUCUCUUCAACCUUGGCGCCGUAUGCAGCCAGAUUGGGGCCUCUUGCGACCACAACACCGCCCUUGGCCGUCACCUUGCAAUGGACGCCUUCAAUGCCGCCGCCAAAUUCUUCUUCAAACUCUGGAAGGAUUUUGCCAAGGGCGUCUCCGCCACCCUCGACUUGACUCUCGUCUUCGCCGAGGCUCUGCACAGCCUCUUCUCCGCUCAGGCUUCCGAGCUCAAAUUACAGCAACAACUCCACGACGACAACAACAACAACGACGCCGUCGCCAGUCCCGCUCUCCAACAACAUCGAAUUGCCGUUUCGUUUGAAUCGAUUUUUAAGCAUUAUCAGAGAGCAGGUGAUCUGAUAUUUGGUGAUUCGGCUGCAAUCAAACAUGUCUGCUCAUUUGACGAAACUUGGAUACCUCAUCUUCGUCAGAAGAAGAAAUACUUUCAGGUGCAGGCUCGUCAGACGCGAUCAUCCAUCCUACCCGAAUCCCAGCUACCUGAAACAUUCUCAUUGCUCCAAUAUUAUCCUCUUGGUCAUGAUGCAGAAUCUGUCACUGAAAAACUAAUUGGAGGGAUUUGCAGCCACGCGGUCCUGUGGAGAGCCAAGCGAGAAGGAAUAUACCUUGACCUCAUCCUUUCCGAGUACAGCCCUUUCAAGAUUAUGGAUGGUGGAAAGCUGGUGGCUAACCCAUGGGACAUGCCUCCUCCUUAUCCAACAAAUUUCGCAAUCCGCUCAUCUUCGUUUCCGUCACAUAUUCUGGCAUUUCCUUUGAAGAAGACUGAGCCCUUAGACCUCUACGGGACUCUGCGCAACUGCUUUGUCUUCAAAUACUCUGAGAGCGUGGCAGAGAGAGUAGAAGGCCUUCUUCAAAUGCUAAACAAAUUGCGUAGUGAAAUGCUGCGUGAUGACCUCUCUCUACCCGUUCGCCGUGACUGCCUCCUCCACUAUUUCAAGUGCCUUUGCAUGAUUGAGCCUUUGUUCCUUAUGACUGACUUGCCUAAUCCGCCUAUCUUUGUUUGGUACGAUGCCUUCAACCCACAACAGAAGUCUUCUCAGCACUAUAUUCAUUUCGAGAAGGCCUCUGUUCUCUUCAACCUGGGAGCCCUCUGCACCCAAAUUGCUAUCUCCUGCGAUCUCACCACCAUCCAAGGCCAUCGCCUUGCCAAGGACGCCUUAAAUGAUGCUUCACAUUGGUUCUUCAUACUGCCUCUUGAGGCUAAGAAGGUAUCUGCCACCAUUGACUUGUCCGUAAACUGUGCCAGGAUGCUGCAUGAGAUAAUAUCCGCUCAGAUUGCCGACUUGGAAUGGAAUUUUCCUCAUUCUCGUUCUGAUCGAUCAUCAUUACCUGUUACUCUGCUUUAUCAGAAAGCUUAUGCUCUGUUGACAUCUGGGCCUGAAAAUCUUGUUCCAUCCUCAAUACCUCAAUAUCUUGAGGAGAAGAUGAAAACCUGCGCGGUUGAAACUGCUCCUACUGAUGUCACUGAACAAUUUCUAUCAGGGUAUUGUAUGGCUCAAUCUUUGAUUCGAAAGAGUUGUCUACCACCAUGCUUGGACCUUCACUCCGAGGUUGGCCCUAUCAUGAUUAAGGAUGGAAAUUUUGUGAUCAACCUUAGAGGCAGUAUCGGUGGCAUUGGAGGAGAUGAGCUCCCAAGAGACGUCAGUAACAUGACCAUAAACUGAAACUAGACAAACUUUAGGAAUUAGCAUUGGAGGAGAUGAGUUCCCAGGAGACCACAGUAACAUGACCAUAGACAGAAACUUGACAAACUUUAAGUAGUAACGUUGGCAUUGGAGGAGACGCGCUUGCUGGAGACCAUCACAGUAACACUACCAUGGAGGAAAACUAAACAAGUUCAUUUCUAUAAUUUUUCUUUUGAAAUUAGUUAUAAUAUGGGAACAGUCGUAUAUUGCCACAACCAGCACGUUAUUUUAUGAUCAAGAUUAAAUAACUAUGCCGGAAAAAAUAGAAUUUACAAUGAAACUGUUGUUCCAAAACCGAGUCCAAAAAAUGGUCACACACAUAGUAGUUCAUAGAAUACUUAUGUUCAAUUGUAUUACAUGUUCAGAAUCCGGAGUCUCUUAUCACUACUUUUCUCUGUGGGAAGAGUGAACUAUAUCCAAAUUUAGAUAUGAAGGAACUAUAUACAAAAGUUUUUUACUCUCAAAUUUAAUUUUAAAACUCU